UCUCCGUAGGUGAACCUGCGGAGGGAUCAUUACAGAGUUCAUGCCCUACCGGGUAGAUCCCCUACCCUAUGUUAUUAUUACUUUGUUGCUUUGGCGGGCCGUUAGGCUCCGGCCCGACUACCGGCCCCGGCUGGUAAGCGCCCGCCAGAGGACCCAAAACCCUGUAUAUUAGUGUCGUCUGAGUACUAUAUAAUAGUUAAAACUUUCAACAACGGAUCUCUUGGUUCUG
rnacentral:misc_RNA from 1 species